rnacentral:rRNA from 1 species
ACGCAAUAAGCAAUCCACCUGGGGAGUACGCCCGCAAGGUUGAAACUCAAAGGAAUUGACGGGGGCCCGCACAAGCAGUGGAGUAUGUGGUUUAAUUCGAAGCAACGCGAAGAACCUUACCAGGUCUUGACAUCCAACUAACGAGGUAGAGAUACGUUAGGUGCCCUUCGGGGAAAGUUGAGACAGGUGGUGCAUGGUUGUCGUCAGCUCGUGUCGUGAGAUGUUGGGUUAAGUCCCGCAACGAGCGCAACCCUUGUCACUAGUUGCAUACGCAAGAGCACUCUAGUGAGACUGCCGUUGACAAAACGGAGGAAGGUGGGGACGACGUCAAAUCAUCAUGCCCCUUAUGACCUGGGCUACACACGUACUACAAUGGUCUGUUAACAGAGGGAAGCAAUACCGCGAGGUGGAGCAAACCCCUAAAAACGAUCCCAGUUCAGAUUGUAGGCUGCAACUCGCCUAUAUGAAGUUGGAAUUGCUAGUAAUCGGGGAUCAGCAUGCCGCGGUGAAUA